UGGCGGACGGGUGAGUAACACGUACGUGACCUGUCCGGAAGUGGGGAAUAACCGGCCGAAAGGUUGGCUAAUACCGCAUGUGGUCACCCCUUGGAAGGGGCUGACGAAAGCCGAAAGGCGCUUCUGGAGGGGCGUGUGGCCGAUUAGCUAGUUGGUGUGGUAACGGCGCACCAAGGCGAUGAUCGGUAGCUGGUCUGAGAGGAUGGCCAGCCACACGGGGACUGAGACACGGCCCCG
rnacentral:rRNA from 1 species